rnacentral:rRNA from 1 species
GACGUAGGUGGCGAACGUUAUCCGGAAUUAUUGGGCGUAAAGGGUGCGUAGAUGGUUUGACAAGUUAGUGGUGGGAAAUCGAGGCUCAACCCCGUGGAAGUCACUAAUACUAUCAAACUAGAGUGCAGGAGAGGUUAAUGGAACUCCAUGUGUAGCGGUAAAAUGCGACGAUAUAUGGAUGAACACCAAUAAAGGCGAAGGCAGUUAACUAUUCUGCUACUGACAUUGAGGGCACGGAAAGCGUGGGGAGCAAAACGG